rnacentral:rRNA from 1 species
AAACUUGAGAGUUUGAUCAUGGCUCAGAACGUACGCUGGCGGCACGCCUAACACAUGCAAGUCGAACGCAGUAGCAAUACUGAGUGGCGAACGGGUGAGUAUAAUGUGGGUAUCUGCCUUUUGGUUUGGAAUAACACGAGGAAACUUGUGCUAAUACCGGAUAAGCCUUUACAGGGAAAGCUUUAGCGCCGAAAGAUGAGCUCAUACUUGAUUAGCUAGUUGGUAAGGUAAUGGCUUACCAAGGCUACGAUCAAUAGCUGAUCUGAGAGGAUGAUCAGCCACAUUGGGACUGAGACACGGCCCAAACUCCUACGGGAGGCAGCAGUGGGGAAUCUUGCACAAUGGGGGAAACCCUGAUGCAGCGAUGCCGCGUGAGUGAAGAAGGCC